UGUUAAAAAUUUUAUCCGUUUAUACUAUUAAAAAAUAGCGUGAUUAAUAGAAUAACCAUAUUGUGACACGUGGCACGCCACGUGUACCUCAUGCUGAUAUACAAUGACCAAUUUUUAAUAGUAGAAAUAGAUAAAAUUUUUAACA
rfam:Gossypium arboreum cultivar AKA8401 contig_2290_3, whole genome shotgun sequence.